rnacentral:lncRNA from 11 species
GCUGAAGAGAAGUUAGGCAGUUUCUGUCACGUGGAGCCAGCACGCGGAGAGAGCUGUGUGUGUGGCGCGUGAGGAGCAGGCACUUACUUGCGUUCCACUUCCCACCACGACCCCCUCGGGCUCGGCCAUGUCUGCCAAUCAAUGGGGAUCUCGGGCCAGAAGAAAAAAAUUGCUACACCUGUCAGUUCACUUAUUAUAUGGCGAAAGAGGAAGAUCAGCCUGCUCCAGCUAAAAGGUCGAGGGCUGCUGGGAAUACACCAUCUUCUUCUGUAUCAGGUACACCACCACCACCAUUUUCUAGUUAAUGAUGACAAGGAGGAGUGGCACAGAGGCUUCCAGCUGUUUUCCUGCAUGUUUGCAUGUGCCUUCAAGUUGCCUGUCGACUUAUUUCAAUCCCGUGACUUGAUGGCAAGCCACUUCUGAACAAAUCUUGCCAGAAUAUACUGUGAUAGGUGCACUUUAAGGUCAUCAUUGGUUGAAAAUGACCUGAAGGCACACAUAGCAACAAUGAUAAAGCCUGAAUAUACUGUAUUGACUCAGUAUUAGCAUCCAGAUGAAGAAAUGUAACUGUUAUGCAUUGUGAUCACACUCUGUGAUGAUUUCAUGUCCACAUCUCAGAAGAAAACAGAUGAUAAAAUUGGAACAAUCCCAUAAUCACAGCAGUACCUAACCAGUACCACAACA